rnacentral:rRNA from 1 species
CCUACGGGCGACAGCAGUGAGGAAUAUUGGUCAAUGGCCGGAAGGCUGAACCAGCCAUGCCGCGUGAAGGUCAGUGCCCUAUGGGCGUUAAACUUCUUUUGUGCGGGAGCAAUAAUGGUCACGUGUGGCCAGACGAGAGUACCGUACGAAUAAGCAUCGGCUAACUCCGUUCCAGCAGCCGCGGUAAUACGGGGGAUGCAAGCGUUAUCCGGAUUUAUUGGGUUUAAAGGGUGCGUAGGCUGUGAGGUAAGUCAGCGGUGAAAUGCCCCCGCUCAACGGGGUGAAGUGCCAUUGAUACUGCCUUGCUUGAAUGCGGAUGCGGUGGGAGGAAUGUGUGGUGUAGCGGUGAAAUGCAUAGAUAUCACACAGAACACCGAUUGCGAAGGCAUCUCACGAAUCCGCGAUUGACGCUGAUGCACGAAAGCGUGGGUAUCAAACAGGAUUAGAUACCCCUGUAGUC